rnacentral:misc_RNA from 1 species
GGUUGCUCCUUUCCCAUUUAUAGAUUAGUGUGUAUAUACCUUCUUUUGGGUUUUAUUUGCAUAUUUGUAAUGCCAAAUGUGAUAGUUUCUUGUUUUGGAUAUGAGUUGUGGAGUGUAGGCUUGUGUGUGAUGUGUAGGUUUGGUUCUGCUAGGAUGGUGGUUCCUUUGGGUUAGUAGCAAAAGGGUGGUAUCUCUAGGGAAUGAGAUGCCGUGACCUUUACCAUACUUCUUCUCUAGAGUCAUCGAUGAUAUAUCCAAGUUCAACUUUCUUGAGGUUUUUGACGAUGGCUUAGAGUGAAGGGCUUCAAUUUUGGCAUUGGUUAUGCUUUACUCAAUCAAGCAUAGGUCCGGUUGAAGGGGGCCUCUUUUGUCUUCACUCUUCUUAGCAAUCACUAUAGUAUUAUUGGGAGUUGGAGUAGCUCAGUGUGGUAUGGGUGGCUUCAUGUUGUGCAAAGGAGCAGUCCAUGUCGAGUUAUCAAAUAUACAGGUCGAAUGACCAGCCUGUCUUAGCCUCCAGGGCUUGUUGUUGUCUUGAGCCCCUGGGCUUUGAAUUUUGGGUUGCUGGGCUUUGUAUUUUGAAUUUAUCCCUUUAAUUUUUUUAGCCUUGG